rnacentral:rRNA from 1 species
CCUACGGGUGGCAGCAGUCGAGAAUCAUUCACAAUGGGGGAAACCCUGAUGGUGCGACGCCGCGUGGGGGAAUGAAGGUCUUCGGAUUGUAAACCCCUGUCAUGUGGGAGGAAAUUAAAAAGAUAGUACCACAAGAGGAAGAGACGGCUAACUCUGUGCCAGCAGCCGCGGUAAUACAGAGGUCUCAAGCGUUGUUCGGAAUCACUGGGCGUAAAGCGUGCGUAGGCUGUUUCGUAAGUCGUGUGUGAAAGGCGCGGGCUCAACCCGCGGACGGCACAUGAUACUGCGAGACUAGAGUAAUGGAGGGGGAACCGGAAUUCUCGGUGUAGCAGUGAAAUGCGUAGAUAUCGAGAGGAACACUCGUGGCGAAGGCGGGUUCCUGGACAUUAACUGACGCUGAGGCACGAAGGCCAGGGGAGCGAGAGGGAUUAGAUACCCCAGUAGUC